rnacentral:lncRNA from 1 species
CUCAAUAUAAAGACAUUUUCUAGACGAUACUUGGGAAAAGUAUCCCCAAGCAUCCCUACAAUAUAACAAAUACCGACAACUAGGAUUCUAACUUGGGUCUCGAAUCCUAAUUGGAAAUAAACUUAGCUGAAAAUACUGACACUUUAAAAAGUAUCGUCAUAUGAAUCCUCUAUUUUAUCAAACUAAUUAAUUUUUUACAUGAUAAAUUUUACUAUUAUUUUAAAUCUUUCGGCGCUUUAAAGCGUUAAGGUUUCAAAAAAUUUUGAAAAAUCUUGACGCUUUAAAACCUCAAAAUAU